AAAUUCUCCUGGCGGCCUCCGUUCAGACGCGGCAGCUGUGACCCACCUGCCUCCUCCGCAGAGCAAUGGCGGUGUCUGCCGGGUCCGCGCGGACCUCGCCCAGCUCAGGGUUCUUGAUGGUGCUAGACAUUCCCCAGGAGCGGGGGCUCAGCUCUCUGGACCGGAAAUACCUUGAUGGGCUGGAUGUGUGCCGCUUCCCCUUGCUGGAUGCCCUACGCCCACUGCCACUUGACUGGAUGUAUCUUGUCUACACCAUCAUGUUUCUGGGUGAGGGGAACUGUGGGAAAUAUUGACUGGCCUGCCAGAAACACAGAAAUAGAAGCAUGCUGGUGAAUGGUCAAAGUCUUUGGCACCUUAUUUCACUUCUGCUGUGAUCAAUUUCAUGCUGUUGACCUGUGUGUCACUUAAGCUGUGAUCCCAUAAUUCUUUUUAAAAUAUUAAAAUAACAUUUAAUUUUCAUUUAGUUUUAUGUGAUUAUACAAUGCUUGAUUUUUCUUAAUUCCAACCAUAUCCUGGUCCAGGGAAACUGGGCCUGUGGUGAUCUCUUGACCUCUUAAUCCUCUCCCUACAAAUCCCAGGGGCACUGGGCAUGAUGCUGGG
rnacentral:lncRNA from 1 species